GAGCGGCCUGGGGACAGCACAACGCGGAGCCGCGGCCGACAGCAGCGCAACCGCUCCCUCCGGGCCGGCAGCCAGAGAGCAGCCAGAAGGCUGGCGGGGGUCCGCGACACUGCCUGGAGGGGGCUCACAGCUCGGAUGGCAUUUGAGAAAAAAGGUCAGGCAGAGCCUGCCGGCUGCCCCUCCAUGACACACAGCAAACCGCACGGAGUCAGAACAAUCUGCAGGUGGCGGAUGGCACCAGCAGGUACGUCCCUCAGCCCCGCCUGGCCCAGGACCGAGCCCAGUCAGCACAGCCAACCAGGCCAAGGCAUGCCGAGAUGACCGGUGACCUCCCCCCGUGAAGCUGGGGAGCCUGGGACAGGUUCUCCCUCAGCAGGAACCAGCCCUGCACCACCUUGAUCUCAGACUUCUGGCUCCGGAGCAGGGACAGGGUACGUUUCCAUUGUUUCCACAUCAGCAUUGGUAUGGCCACCCCGGGAGACCGAGACAUGGGGCUAAUAUACCUAGAAGGUCCAAUGGGAGCCGGCGGUGCUCGGAUCCCCACCCCAAACCCUCGGACACCCCCGUUUGGAUCAAGAGGACGACACCUCAGGAAAAGCACCUGGCAAGGGGCUCAGCCUCAGGAGUGGCUCAGGUGGCCUAAGAAACGCGGCAAAGACCAGCCUUAAGUUUUGCAAGAUGCUGACCCUUCUCAGGAGGGACCGAGGCGUGUCAGGGGCACGUUUCUCCAGGCCAGCUGGCUGUCCAGGGGGCCCAGGGUGUGCACACCUGUCUCCUGAGCGCUCAGAGACUCUCGUUCCCAAAAGACAACAGAGGGCAGACACUAAAAGCUGGAGCCAGGCGGGCGGCUGGCCUGACAUCCCCGGCCCUGGUGGCACCUCAUGCUGGUGUGAAAGCCACGCAGGGCGGGUUCCCUUUCCCCGCCGGCCCCCCCUGCUGCUGAGCCCCGGCCACCCCCGCCCAGACCCGGAGGAAGCCAGUGAUCUGGCUCCUGGCGAGAGCCUCGACAAUGCAGUGGGAGAUGACGACUGGGAAUCGGGAUCACGCACGUCUCUGCACAGACUGACUCAAGGGGACAGGAAUUCCGCCGGCGGGUGUCUAGACUGCGGUGUUUCUGGGAUGCAGGAACCCGGAGCCAGAAGUGAGGCCCGUGGGGUGGGCUGUGCUGCCACCUGGUGGCCCCGGCUGCAUGGGCCCUGCGGCGCGUCCAGUGCCUCGGGCGUGGGGGUCCAGGCCCUCGCGGGGUCCGGAGGGGCAGGCCGUGCAAAGCCUGCAUUUACUUGCGGCAGGAUGAGACCCCUGGGUCGGGGAUUCCACUGACCCCAGGAGACUGCGCUCUGUGACCACUGGCCGGCCGCCUGAGGUCCCGGAUGCUGCACAUACUUCAUGACACACUCAGUGCGGUGACUCACAGACGCUGGUUUACACGGUGUGACUCCUAGGGCUUGAUUCUGUGUCUAGUGUGAGCAAGGACUUAUUUUCCCAAAAUAAGGAACGCAGGGUUUCCCCAUCCUGGCCCUGCCGACAUUGGGGUGGCUUACUCUCUUUGGGAGGCGUCCUGGGCACUGUGGGCAGCUGAGCACCCGUGGCCCACAGCCCCUGGAUGCCAGGAGCACCCCAGUCGUGAUGACCCCAGAUGCCUCCACACGUGGCCCUGUGGCCCCUGGGCACAGUCAUCCUGGGUCAGAAUCUCGGCAUAGGUGAUUAUUCUUUUUUUUAUUGGAACCAAUGAUCCCUUCUUGGAAGCAGAAACUAUCCAGGCAGCCCCUGUCCUCCCACCGGUGAGGAGCCCCCUGUCAGGGCUGGGGGUGUUGGGGGAGCACGGGAAUGAGGGCUGGAGGAAAGCCCACCUGCUCCGCCUCGGGCAAGGCGCGGCCCGGGCAGAGGCCACUGUGCCUGGGACGGGCACUCAGGCACUUGCUGGGUCCAUGGGGCCAGGGCGUGGAGGCGGGUCUGUCCCAGGGGGCACAACCCACCAGGAGGGCUCACCCGUUGCCCCAAAAUUCUGCCUCUGGAUUUUGUUCAAAGGUCCUUAAGCAGGAUCCUCCCCGUCCCGGCUGCGCCUGGACACAGGAGCACAUGCCCCGCCCACCACAGGGCGACAGGGAAGAUUACGUUCUAGAACUGCGUCUGUGUAAAGGUGAACAUAAACCAGGCUGGGUUCGUUAUUAAAUACUCACUAAUACGUUAGUCACCCUUUGUUCACGGGUUUUAUUAUAUUUUAAAGAUUUUAUUUAUUUGAGAGGGAAAGAGUGUAUGAGUGGGGGGGGAAGAGGGAGAAGCAGGCCCCCCACCGAGCAGG